UGAGGAACAUGACCUUCGGCGGGGGAUAGCCGGCCCAACGGCCGGGUAAUACCGCGUACGACCACUUCGGGACAUCCCUCGGUGGUGAAAGCAGCAAUGCGCCGAUGGAGUGCCUCGCGGCCUAUCAGCUAGUUGGUGAGGUAACGGCUCACCAAGGCGACGACGGGUANCUGGUCUGAGAGGAUGGCCAGCCACAUUGGGACUGAGACACGGCCCAGACCUCCGUACGGGAGCAG
rnacentral:rRNA from 1 species